rnacentral:rRNA from 1 species
AAAAGACUCUCGGCAACGGAUAUCUCGGCUCUUGCAUCGAUGAAGAACGUAGCGAAAUGCGAUACUUGGUGUGAAUUGCAGAAUCCCGUGAACCAUCGAGUCUUUGAACGCAAGUUGCGCUCGAAGCCAUUAGGCCUAGGGCACGCCUGCCUGGGUGUCGCAC